GUUGUACUCCAUCUUUGAAAUAUGCUCUGAAAAUAUGUUUAAUGUUAUUGUUGUGGGAAUUUAAUUUAAACUAGAAAAUGCAUUUCCUGAAGGAAAUACCAGUGCAUGAAAUGCAAAAGUUAAGAAGGGAAGAAAUAAAGAAAGAAGAGUGAAGAAGCAAAGAAGAAAGGAAAGAAGAGUAAAAGAAGGAAAGAAGAGUGGAAGAAGGAAAGAAGAGUGAAGAAAGGAAAGAAGAGUAGAAGAAGGAAAGAAUAGUGGAAGAAGGAAAGAAGAAAGGAAAGGAGAGUGGAAGAAGGAAAGAAGAAAGGAAAUAAGAGAAAAAGAAGGAAAUAAGAGAAAAAGAAGGAAAGAAGAGAGGAAGAAGGAAAGAAGAGUGGAAGAAGGAAAGAAGAAAGGAAAGAAGAGUGGAAGAAGGAAAGAAUAAAGAAAAGAAGAGUGAAGAAGGAAAGAAGAGUGGAAGAAGGAAAGAAGAAAGAAAAGAAGAGUGAAGAAAGGAAAGAAGAGUGGAAGAAGGAAAGAAGAGUGGAAGAAGGAAAGAAGGAAAAUCGAGCUGAAUUAAGCGCAGAAGUCGGUAAAAAGAAUAAUAAGAAGUAGAAGAAGAACUAGAAAAUGCAUUUCCUGAAGGAAAUACCAGUGCAUGAAAUGCAAAAGUUAAGAAAGGAAGAAGAAAAGAAAGAAGAGUGAAAGAAGGAAAUAAGAAAGGAAAGAAGAGUAAAGAAAGGAAAGAAGAAAGGAAAGAAGAGUCGAAGAAGGAAAGAAGAAGGGAAGAAGGAAAGAAGAAAAGAAAGAAGAGUGAAGAAAGAAAAGAAGAGUGGAAGAAGGAAAGAAGAAAAAAAAAGAAAAGUGAAAGAAGGAAAGAAGAGUGAAAGAAGGAAAAAAGAGUGGAAGAAGGAAAGAAGAAAAGAAAGAAGAGUGAAAGAAGGAAAUAAGAGUGGAAGAAGAGUGGAAGAAGGAAAGAAGAAAAGAAAGAAGAGAGAAAGAAGGAAAGAAGAGUGGAAGAAGGAAAGAAGAAAGGAAAGAAGAGUGGAAGAAGGAAAGAAGAGUGAAGAAAGAAAAGAAGAGUAGAAGAAGGAAAGAAGAGUGGAAGAAGGAAAGAAGAAAGGAAAGAAGAGUGAAGAAAGGAAAGAAGAAAAGAAAGAAGAAGGAAAGAAGAGUGAAGAAAGAAAAGAAGAGUAGAAGAAGGAAAGAAGAGUGGAAGAAGGAAAGAAGAAAGGAAAGAAGGAAGGAAAGAAGAGUGGAAGAAGGAAAGAAGAAAAGAAAGAAGAGUGAAGAAAGGAAAGAAGAGUGGAAGAAGGACAGAAGAAAAGUGAAAGAAGGAAAGAAGAGUGGAAGAGAAUUUAACUACAAUUCAAUAGACAACAUUGCAGAACUAUGUCAGUGUACAGGAUUUUUAUUUUAAUUUUUUUUGAUGUAAGACAUUUAGACAUUUAGUGUCGGGUGAUUGCAGGAAGAUAGGUGUCAUUCUUCAGGUGGAGGGUCUCUGUAUGCUGUGGUCAGUCAAAAUGUAUUGAGUCUUGAUGUGUUAAAUUCUGUAGACCUGCGAAAAUAUAAAAAAAAAUUGCAAAGCAUAUACUUGUUUUAAAAACCUGCUAACUAACACCAUUCAAAGCAAGACCUGUUUAGUUGAAAGCCCACUCACCAC
ensembl:lncRNA